UAUUAGAGAUGCACGAUAUAUCGGUUACCAUAAUGAUAUCAGCUGAUAUCACAUUCAAAGUUAGCAGCACCAGAGCGAAAGACAUAACUACCAAAAUAACGGUGAUGCCUACACAGGACGAUGAAGCAUUUUCCCUAGCGAAGGACGAGGGAUUUUUCCGGCUCAUUCGCCACUAAGCAUCAGGGCUGCCAGUUUCAAUCUGAAGAAAGUACCGGUUUUAUACACCCUCAACAUGUUUUUAAAUCAUUAUUAAAUGUGACCUGCUGAUCAGUCUUUUCUUUUCCAAAGAUGAUGUGGCACUAUUCUGCUUCACUGGCAGUGACAUCCUCCCUCGCCGAGAAUCCUACAGGUGAGCCGGCGGUGGCAGAACUUCCACGUCGAGGGACCACUAACUCACAUGGGAAGUGGGGAAAACACGCAGCCUCCAUGCAGUCUGCUGAUGGAGGUCUUUCGUGGUCUGAUAAUGCUUCCGGUGGCUAAUCGAAAGCAUAGCCAAGGGAAAGGUUAUAGACCCUUUGGUCAUUGACAGUGUUGAAAUGAAUUGCCGGAAGCCAUUCCAUUGUAGGAUACCAUGAGAGUUUUGCACGUAGGUGAAAGUCAAUGACGAAGCUAAACCAGGAAGUAUUCUCACCUUCAGCAAAUGUUACUGUAUAGUAAGAUGGUGAGCAGCUCUAGUUAAACAAAGCACAGAAAUUUAAAGGCAAGUUAAGGUAGGCCAACUUGACUAAGAGAGACAAUGAAAUGUUUGGCAUUAAAGGUACACAGCAGACACUGGAAUGCUGACAGUCACUGGGGCUUUAACUGCACAACAGUGAAUAGGAUGAUGCCCAGGAGCUAUGAGAGGCGACUGGAGAAAGUGUUGUUACAGCCAGCCAAAUACUCCUAAUUACCUGCGUAAUGUGUACAGUAUUUAGGGGUGGACACAACACUAUCAUAUUAGAAAAUUACUCAUCAUUGUUUCAGAUUUACAUUACAGGAGUGAUUUUGCUGUUUUUUGUUGCGUAAUAACAGUACUGGAGCCUGAAGCAUUAAUGUAAGAUAAUAGGUAUCUUUGACCUAGAACCCCCCCCGCCCCCCCACCAUGAAUGCAUGAUCAUAUAAGUCACUAAGAAGUAAGGGUUGGAAGGCUGCUACUUCUUUUUCUGGGGGGGAGGGGGUCCCUUGAAUAUUUUUUCAGUCAGAUGAUAAUGCUGUUUCGAAAUGUCUCUGUGGGUCCCAGGUUAAGGAGCCCCCCCACUAUAAAUAGGCAUCCUGGUGAGUAGUUGUGUGUAAAACCAGGAGGCCAGCCACUCAAAUAUACAUUUCUAAAAAAACUGCCGUUAAAAUUGUAGCGCUGAGCAGAUAUCUUAGAGUUAAGGGUUUUCAGUGUCACAGACAAGGUACAUUUUUGCUGCCUGUAGCUAUAUCCAAGCAAGACUCUGCAGAUCCUGAGCGAUACUAGGGAAGUAGCUUAUUCUUUAUAAAAGGCCACAUAUUAUUCAUUAAAGACUAGAAGGAAGCCAUAAUGUAAUUAAAAGAACACAGCUGGUUUGCCUGUAAAUAUAUAAUUAUGUUUCCACAUAAUGCUAAUAUGUUUUUACGCAGCUUUACCAAAGGCUAGACCCUGCUUACUGUUUUUAUGUCUUGUUAUGUUAAACCUUUGCAAUAAUAUUUUUACAAAUUUCGAUGUUUCAGUUUUUCACAUUUUUUUUUCCACCUUUCAGCAACCAGUCUUUUAUUUGUAGAUAUUUUUCCAGCCACGCACAUACUUCACCGGUUACACGCAGGAAAACACUGGCAGCUUGACAGCAGAUCUGGGCGUGCGAACGGCUCUAAUUGGAAACACAUAAGAUGAUCUGCGGCGGGGACACAGAGUCAGGUGGGAGAGUCACCGCACCAGCCCGUGCCGCUAAUUUCAUCUCUGUGGCGCGGGUUUCAGUGAAAUCAGACGGCUGGGGUCCGUUCCCAAACGCUGUCAGCGGUUUCUCUUCUACUGCCCUAAAUCGAUAGCGUGUCCCUCAAGCGCCGGACACCGCGGUUAAACCCCGCUAGCCGUCGGGUGUGGUGGGGAUACCAGACCAUUUUUGGUGCAGCGGCCCGGCUGACAUGUGGACCUGGCAACUCGGGAAAGAAUUGUAUGAUCAGAAGUCGUUAGAGAGGAGCCUUUCUGUCACAUUGAGGAUGGACCAAGAGAAACAAUGCCCCCCAGCCCCGAUCAUCCGUGCAGCUCCAAAUCUCAGCGACGGACGACCUUUUAAACAUUUAGUGUGGCUCCAACCCGUUCGGUGGCAGUCAGGAGGGUUCGAGUGUGAGAUCGUGCACAACUACCAUUGAAGUGGCAAAUCACGGGGGGUGGCAGCACCAUACCGCGAUCAGCUAGAAACUCCCCGGCAAGUGACUUCUGGGGAGAUCUUCAUGGAGAAGCGGCAACCACAUGGAAGCUGAUGAAGAUGAUGAGGUCACUCCUCAUUCCUCAUUUUCCGGCAUCUUUCAAUCUUUCAGAAUUCUAAAUUUGACUGACGUACACAUACUACAAAGAGAACCGAAUUCACACGCAUGCUUCGGACUAAACAUACAACACAAGAAGGUCAACAAUAAAUUAUUAACAAAUGAAGAAUCCCAGCAAGUGUGACCUGAGCAGCCCAAACAGAACCAGACUCCAUCUCAGCCACCUGCUCUCCUCAGGUCCUGGAUGAAAAGAUCUCCUGCU